GAAACACGGACCAAGGAGUUUAACAUGUACGCGAGUCUACGGGUACCUGCAACCCAAAAGGCGUAAUGAAAUGUGAGCUUGUUGUAACAAGCAAGCAAGCCGUGAUCCUCGUCCCCUCUUUUGCGUUCGAGGCGCAACGGCAGCCCGUUUAUGCGGCUUUGUCCGUUAAGCGGAGCUUGAGCGUACAUGUUGACACCCGAAAGAUGGUGACCUAUGCCCGGGCAAGAUGAGGCCAGAGGAAACUCUGGUGGAGGUCUGAAGCGAUUCUGACGUGCAAAUCGAUCGUGCUGACCUGGGUAGGGGGCGCAAGGGGCAAUCGAACCAUCUAGUAGCUGGUUCCCUCUGAAGUUUCCCUCAGGAUAGCUGGCGUUCGGCGUGAAGCAGUCUCAUGCGGUAAAGCGAAUGAUUAGAGGCCUUGGGGUCGAAACGAUCUCAACCUAUUCUCAAACUUUCAAUGUGUGAGAUGCUCGACUUUCUUAAACUGAAGUUGAGCGCGCGGAUGCGAAUGUCUAGUGGGCCACUUUUGGUAAGCAGAACUGGCGCUGUGGGGUGAACCAAACGCUGGGUUAAGGCGCCCGAUGCGAGACGCACAUGGGAUCCCAUGAAGGGUGUUGGUUGCUUAAGACAGCUGGA
rnacentral:rRNA from 1 species